CAACCCUGCUAAUUUGAAUACAAUUCAAGAAUAAUCUCGCUAUGAAAAACACAAAAUAGUAACACUUGCAAAUAAUAAACAAUAACAAAAUAAUAAUAUAUGUUGCAAAACAAACUGUAUUUAACAAAUACAACAUUUUGUAAUUGUCUUUAAUAUUAUCAUUUUCACAAACUGAAAUGCAUGCAGUAGGCCUUUUUAAACUUUUCAAAUGUUAUUCUAUUUUUAUGGUUUGGGAAAUGGAUCUAUCCCUAAUUAGACCUACUGUUUUGUAUUUUAAAGUCCUUUUGAGCACAAAAAGUAUGCUUUCUGCAUAUAUCGUAGUACUUUCACCCACGUGGUAUAGUUAAAAUGUGUGUGACGGUGGAACUUUCGGGAACAUUUAAAACUGCGUAUAAAACAAUACCUGUGGACUGGUUGCCCUUUGGCAGGCUGUAGAAAUCGGAUAAAAACUAACGUUACACUUAUUUACACAUAUUUUAAAACGUAUGUAAAGUGACAAUUUCAGUGCAUUUUUUGAAUCCCUACAUCUCAUUGGUAAACUACCACCCUUGUACUUACCUUCCGUCUUGACUUUUUUAGAUUUGGUCAUCAAAUGAUCUGGAAUCUCUCUUUUUUUAAUUGUUCGUUUUGGACGUUCAUUUUCGGGAGGGGCAGAAGUGCCGACUGAACUUGCCUCAUCCAUUGCCUUUAUGCUGGCUCUUUUGGAAAAGAUAAGUAUUAUAUUAAAUGAACAAUGACUAAAAGUGUAAGCUGAAUUCUGCAAUAGCAUGCCUAAAACGCCUGUUGCUUUCUCUUUAUUGCUUACAGUCCAACUUACCUUAAAGCUUUAACGACAGACGAGGAUGACUUCAGGCAAAUGCGCGCCGUUUGUCCUUUCAGUUGAAACAACUGACCGUUAACGGCUCUGAGUUGAAAAUUGCGAAUAUAUGACGUAUUCCUGGGAGUCGCGCCUAUUGGUGGACUUAACGUGAUGAGGACCAAUGAGGUAUCAUUACCCCUCCUUAACAGGCGAAUAUUCUUGUCGUAUAAACUUGAUAUAUUGAUAUUUUUGCUUUCUGUGUAACUUUUACAAUUUGGAAUGCCACUUGAAUAUAACCCAUAUGGCCCAAAUAUAAAUGUUGGCUUGGAAUUUACGUUUAUAUAAUGAUCUGCAUUUCUCUGUUUGAAAUCUUACAACCAGUAAAAUGUCUUAUGGGAAUGACUGAUUGCAUGCAAUGGGCCAAUCAGACGUUUGCUUUUUUUUUUUUUUUUUUUUCUUUAACGAAACCUUUGGGGGAUGGGUAGAAUUGAGCGCACUAAUUAUGAUUGUGCACAAGUUUAGUGUUUAGUCCAGCUUUACUUAAUUAAAAUUGACACUGAAGAGUCAUCUACUUUACACCUGCAGAGACGGACUCCACUGGAUCGUAAGUUGUUUUUAAAUUGCAUUAUGAGCUCUCGCGAAAAAUUAUCAUUUAUCUUUUGAAUCAUUGAAUCAUGGGAACACUUAAUAUAAAGUGGGUCCAUCUUGUUUUAUUCUUUCUCGACACUGUCAGUUAAGCAUUAUAUUAAGCCUGUAAUUAGAUUGGUAACACUUAAUAAGUCAUAAUACUAAAUAAAUUACAAAAAUAUGUCCAUUACUGUAAAAACAUGAGGCUGAAUAAGUGUUUUUUUUUUUUUUUUUUUUUUUUUUGUUUUUUACUUUUCAAGAUACCAUGUCUUUACCAAGAAAGUUACUUUGCCAUGUUGAGGGAAGACAAACAAAAAAGAAAACAAUAAAGUUGAUUAGGUGGCUGCAGAAGAAAAAACUCCUGAAGAAGAGGAUGAAGUGCCUUCUUUGCAAGAGAGACAUGAAGCUAAAAUCUACCAGUAAAAAUGACUACUGCUUAUGGAAUUGUAAAAGUUCAAGACAUCCUGGACAAACCUGUAAUCGGACUGUCAGAACAGGGUCAAUUUUUGAGAAUUCGAGGUGCUCUCUAUUCCAGUGGUUGAAAUUUAUUUACAGGUUCUCACAAGGGCUCAGGCUCAGGCAGAUUGACCUAAUCAGUGAUGGCAUUGCUGGAAGCAGUAGAACACUAAGCAGAAUGGCAAAAAAAUUAAGGAACGUCUGCAUUAUUUCAAUGGAAAGACUGAGAGCAAGGAAUAAAGUUUGUGUGGGUGGAAGAAGAGAAUUUGUCAUAAUAGAUGAAAGCAGCUUCCGACAUAAGCGAAAGUAUGCCCGUGGGCGUUUUGGAAGAACCUGGCAAAGAAAGAAAUGGGUCUUCGGAAUGAUGUGAGUUAAAAAGGACAGAAGAAGACCAGUGCUGAAACUUGUGGAAAGAAGGUCAAGACACCACCUAUUGCCUCUGAUUAGACAGCAUGUGAAGCAAGGCAGUACCAUUAUCAGUGACCAAUGGAGGACAUACAGGAAUGCCUUAGGAAAUAUGGGAUACAUCCACUGUACUGUGAAUCACAGUCAGUGUUUUGUUGAUCCUCAAUCAGGUAAGUCAUACACAACAUUUAGAAAGAGCAUGGUCAACUUUUAAGGAACACAUCUGGAGACAAAGGGGAAACAGAACUGAGGCGUUGUUAACAGAGCAUCUUGCGGUUAUUGAGUGGUCAUACUGGGCAGGAAGAAAACAUCCUGAUGGGUUACUAGGGCAGCUGUUCAAAGAUAUUUUGCAUGCAUAUCCGUUGUAAAGCACACACCCCAGCCCCCUUUCAUUUUACUAGUGAUGUUAAAAAGUUUUUUUCUAUGGUAUACAAUUGUGGCUUUAUACAUGAUGACAUUUCAACUGUCAUCUAUUGAUUAUAAUUUUGUCUUGUCUUUGCUGAAAAAAACUCAUGGAUGCAUAGAUCUGUAAACUUUGCCAAUAUUCUACAUCAAACAAACAAAAGCAAUGUAAAUCCAGUCGCAAGUUGAUGUACUUGUAUGUUUAAGUAUGUAGCUAUAUAAAACUGUAACAGAAUAUUUUGUGAAAAAG